rnacentral:rRNA from 1 species
ACUCCUACGGGAGGCAGCAGUAGGGAAUCUUCCACAAUGGGCGCAAGCCUGAUGGAGCAACACCGCGUGAGUGAAGAAGGGUUUCGGCUCGUAAAGCUCUGUUGUUAAAGAAGAACACGUAUGAGAGUAACUGUUCAUACGUUGACGGUAUUUAACCAGAAAGUCACGGCUAACUACGUGCCAGCAGCCGCGGUAAUACGUAGGUGGCAAGCGUUAUCCGGAUUUAUUGGGCGUAAAGAGAGUGCAGGCGGUUUUCUAAGUCUGAUGUGAAAGCCUUCGGCUUAACCGGAGAAGUGCAUCGGAAACUGAAUAACUUGAGUGCAGAAGAGGGUAGUGGAACUCCAUGUGUAGCGGUGGAAUGCGUAGAUAUAUGGAAGAACACCAGUGGCGAAGGCGGCUACCUGGUCUGCAACUGACGCUGAGACUCGAAAGCAUGGGUAGCGAACGGGAUUAGAUACCCUGGUAGGCUAGCG